GAUUAACGCUAGCGGCAGGCCUAAUACAUGCAAGUUGAACGGGAUUUCGGGUAGCAAUAUCUGAAUGAGAGUGGCGCACGGGUGCGUAACACGUAUGCAAUCUACCUCUGACUGGGGAAUAGCCUUCCGAAAGGAAGAUUAAUACCGCAUAACAUAAUGAAGUGGCAUCACUUUAUUAUCAAAACUCCGGUGGUCAGAGAUGAGCAUGCGUCCGAUAGCUAGUUGGUGAGGUAACGGCUCACCAAGGCAACGAUCGGUAGGGGGUCUGAGAGGAUGAUCCCCCACACUGGUACUGAGACACGGACCAGACUCCUACGGGAGGCAGCAGUAAGGAAUAUUGGACAAUGGUCGCAAGACUGAUCCAGCCAUG
rnacentral:rRNA from 1 species